GAUGAACGCUGGCGGCGUGCUUAACACAUGCAAGUCGAACGGAAAGGCCCUGCUUUUGUGGGGUGCUCGAGUGGCGAACGGGUGAGUAACACGUGAGUAACCUGCCCUUGACUUUGGGAUAACUUCAGGAAACUGGGGCUAAUACCGGAUAGGAGCUCCUGCUGCAUGGUGGGGGUUGGAAAGUUUCGGCGGUUGGGGAUGGACUCGCGGCUUAUCAGCUUGUUGGUGGGGUAGUGGCUUACCAAGGCUUUGACGGGUAGCCCGCCUGAGAGGGUGACCGGCCACAUUGGGACUGAGAUACAGCCCAGACUCCUACGGGAGGCAGCAGUGGGGAAUAUGGACCAAUGGGCGGAAGCCUGAUGCAGCAACGCCGCGUGCGGGAUGACGGACGUCGGGUUGUAAACCGCUUUCGCCUGUGACGAAGCGUGAGUGACGGUAAUGGGUAAAGAAGCACCGGCUAACGACGUG
rnacentral:rRNA from 1 species